rnacentral:tmRNA from 1 species
GGGGAUGAUCGGUUUCGACAUGCUCCGAUUGCUUCAUGGUGAAGCGUGCCGAGGGUUGCGCGGCGACCUCGUAAAUCACACCUCGCACCCAGAGACGCCAACGCUUCUCGCUCCGCCCACGCCCUCGCUGCGUGAGCCUGAGCCCCGCCCAGGAUGACCAGGGCCAGCGGGGCUCAGUCGCCACCCAGGUCUAGGGGGAUGCUGCCACCGCGCCAGCGCCACCCGAACCGCCAGCGCGGGUAGACCAGCCUGAUACGCCGCCCGACGCGGACACAGGGGUCGAGAAAGGAACCAGCCGGGCUGCGCACGGAGAAGAACAUGAAGACGGAGCGUGGACGCGGGUUCGAUUCCCGCCAUCUCCACCA